UUUCCGUAGGUGAACCUGCGGAAGGAUCAUUAGCAGAAUCGGUGGCCCUCGGGCGCCUUCUCUCAUCCUUCACCCUGUGCAUCGUGACCCCACUUUUUUCGCGCUCUGCGAAUGAACAAAAGUCUCGAAACCGAAAAACCAUAUGAACGCAUAAAAUGAAGCAACGGAUCUCUUGGCUCUCGCAUCGAUGAAGAACGCAGC
rnacentral:misc_RNA from 1 species